CUUUUUGCCAUUUCUUGGGCUGCUCUCGUGGCAUAUGGAGGUUCCCAGGCUAAGGGUCAAAUUGAAACCAUAGCUGCCGGCCUACACCAGAGCCACAGCAACACAGGAUCCAAGCCGAGUCUGCAACCUACACCACAGCUCACAUCAAUGCCAGAUCCUUAACCCACUGAGCAAGGCCAGGGAUCGAACCCACAGCCUCAUGGUUCCUAGUCGGAUUUGUUAACUGAGCCACAAUGGGAACUCCCUACAAAUUAUCUUAAAGUGGAACUUUGGGAGAUAGUUCUACCUAAAAAGAACUGUGACCAUGUUAACAUGUGAAAUAUUUUUGAAAUACCUACUAGCCAUUAGGCACUGUGAAAAAGAUGGAAACUAUAACAGCACACGAGGAAUAAGUGGCUUCUGCCUAUACAGCCUGACUUUACAAUAAUUUGUGCUAUUGUUCCUCAAGGGUAGGUAUCAGGGAGAUGUAUUCCUGAGGUCAGGAAAUGUCAUGUGCAAGACAGCAUUUUAUUUUUUAUUUUUUUAAAUGAUUUUUAUUUGUUCCAUCAUGGCUGGUUUAGUGUUCUGUCAAUUUUCUACUGUAUAGCAAGGUGACCCAGUCACACAUACAUUCUUUUUCUCACACUAUCAUGCUCCCUUAUAAGUGACUAGAUCUAGUUCCCAGUGCUAUACAGCAGGAUCUCAUUGCUUAUCCAUAUUUUUAAAUUUAUUUUCUUACCAUCCAAAAUAUUUACAUGUUUUUAGAAGAAGAAAAUGAAAAAAGAAAGAAGGCAAGAAAUUUUUGACUGUGGUCUCAGCAUUUUAUUGGCUAGCACAAUGAGUUUACAGUUCUCUGCAGAAACAAGGAGUUGAACUCACUGACGUCUAAGGUCCCUUCCAGCCUUAAACAUUUAAGAAAGAAUCUGUAACUAUUCCACAGGUGCGUCAAGCAACCUUUCUUGAAGAAGAUCGAAGAGUUAGGGCUAGAGUCUAUCUGGGGAGAUCAGUAAGAUAUAAACUGGUUAUAUUCUUAUAAUUUCAGCACAAAAUCUCAGAGUCGUGAGAAUAACUUUUCCUCCUUUUUUGUAAGAUGAAUUCUGACACCAACACUGAAGCCUACACUAGUAAUACUAAUACUAAUAACAAUAGCAACAACGAAGACGUACUUAGUCCUUACUUUGUCCCAGGACAGGGACAGUGCUUUAAACGUAUUGAUAUUUGAAAAUUGAUCUUAACAAACAAUAAUGUUUAAAUCAAUUCUAUGAGGUAAGUAUUAUGAGUGGGUCUCAUUUUACAAAUGAGAGCACCAAAACUUAACAACUUAGCUUGCAGGACAUUAUAAAUUGUAAAGCUGUAACUUGGAAGAUGCCUGACUCAAGAUAGUGUCUGAUGUAGCCCAAAGAGAGAAGGUGGCUGGAAGACCUCACAUUCUGUAGUCACUGAAGACGGAAUAGAAAGCUUUCUACAUGGAAUUUCUCAAGCAUUAUGAAGCAAAUUGUUCUGAAUAAAAUUGCAGGGAAGAGUCCCUGGUGGCCCAUGGGUUAAGGAUCUGGCAUUGUCACUACUGUGGCUCAAGUCACUGCUGUGGCUCAGAUUUGACCCCUGGCUCAGGAACUUCCAUGUGCCACAGGGACAGCAAAAAACAAACCAAACCAAAACAAACAAACAAAAACUGCAUAGAGAAUUUUGACUUUAAGAAAUGAUUCAGUGUAAAUUAGGAAGAUAUCUGAGUAACUACAAAACCUAUUAUAAUAUUAAUCUUCUAAUUGUGGAGGACAAUGUAAUUUUUUCAAAAUCUUUCUUUCCUGAACACACCUGAGCAUUAUUGUACCAGAUCCAUAGAAUUCUGUAAGUGCCAAGAAUAAAUAGCAUGACUGUGUGAAGAUCAAGAACAUGGAGCUCAGAAAGGUUGAAAAGGUUCUGAAGCGAUCAAAAGAAAGAAGAAUCUAAAUUAGACCAAGGGACUUCUACGUGCCAAGCACGGUAAGUGCAGGAACUUGAGAAAUUCUCCUGUGAGAGAGAAGCAUGGAAAUCAAUUCUUUAUAAUCUAUAGUUAAAGGAAAAUUGGAGUUCUCUUUGUGGCUCAGCGGUGACAAACCUGACUAGUAUUCAUGUGGAUGUGGGUUUGAGCCCUGGCCUCCAUUGGUGGAUUGGGGAUCGGAAUUGUCAUCAGCUGUGAUGCAAAUCGUAGACACAGCUCAGAUCCCCAGUUGAGUAAGCCAACAGCUGCAGCUCCAAUUUGACCCCUUGCCUGGCAACUUCCACAAGUCACAGGUGUGGGCCUAAAAAUACAAUAAAUAAAUAAAUCAAGGAAAAUUAAUUGUUCAAAGCUAUUUAUUAAUAUUCCACUACUGCCCAGCAUUUAUGAGGUGCACUAACUAUACAUGGACAAGACGGACUUCAUGCUGUCAUGCUGAUUUCCACAGUCUUCAUGGUGUGGGGUACUGGUUCCAUGGGCAGCCAUCCAAGGGCCCACGCUGGAAAGACCUGCCCUUGAUUUAAUGCUGUACAGUUCAGACAUGUUUGACCAGAGGCUCCACAUGUUCAUGUUGCACUUGACUCUGCUAGUUAAGUAACUUGCUCAGACCAGAAGCAUUGACAUCUUUGAGAGAUUUUUAGAAAUGUGGCGUCUGCAUCUUUGCUAUGCCCACUACUUUGGGAGUUUGGGCAUCUCAUAUAACUCUCUAAGUUUCAGAAUCUUUCCUUGCAAGAUGGAGAAAAAGUAAUAGUUGAUAAAUUAAACAAUCCAGGGUAACCCUUAGCACAGUGACAUGCAUGUGGAAAGAGAUGGUACAUUUUAGCUAAGUAUUACUGUUACUACUACAUUAUGGCCUCUCUACUUCUGUUUUGCUGCUUCUGCAAUUACUGUUAAAGAUAUUCAAGGUCUUAAAGCCUUGCCUCACUUGUUCUCAAACACAUAACCAUUUUACUUUAAUGGAUACUGUUUGCCUCAUGCUAGUCAUAGCUAUACGUGAGUUUGUACAAUAAAGUAAUAAUUGGCAGCAUGUAAACCAAGUUAGUGAGGAGUGGAAGAAUUACUCAAUGUGCCCCUUUUGCUUUUAUAUUUGUAGGAAACACUCAUCUUAGGUAAUAGGUGUUUGGUGCAAUAUGAGUUUGUAUGAAAAGGAACACAGAGCUAAGUAUUUUGUGAAAAUGGACAACUUAAAAAAUCAGGCACAGGAGUUCCCAUCGUGGAGUAGCAGAAAUGAAUCUGACCAGGAACCAUGAGGUUGUGGGUUCGAUCCCUGGUCUCACUCAGUGGGUUGGGGAUCCGACAUUGCCAUGAGCUAUGGUAUAGGUCACAGAUGCAGCUCAGAUCUGGUGUUGCUGUGGCUGUGGUGUAGGUCAGCAGCUACAGUUCUGAUUGGACUCCUAGCCUGGGAACCUCCAUAUGCUGCUGAUGUGGCCCUAAAAAAAAAGACAAAACAAACAAACAAACAAACAAAAAAACAAAACAAGUACAGGUGCAUAAUAGAAGACAAAUUUUAGUAUAUAAAAUUAUCUAAAAUUUCAAGAUAAUUUGACUGUGGUGUAGGUUGCAGAUGCAGCUCGGAUCUGGCGUUGCUGUGGCUGUGGUGUAAGCCAGCAGCUCUAGCUCUGAUUUGAAACCUAACCUGAGAACCUCCAUUUGCAGCGGGUGAAAUGCUAAAAAAGCAAACAAAAAAAAAAAAAAAAAAAAAAAAAAGAAAGAAAGAAAAAAAUGGGAUUACAUUUAGAAUCAAUCAAUCAAUUUCUUAAAAGAAUCAGUACAGUACAGUAAAAAUUUCAGGGAUGUAUAUUUUUAAAGAAUACCUUUUAUGUUUCUACUCUGUUUCCAACUAAGAGUUUGCUAAAACUGAGUUUUUAAAGGACUCAUUUUUAGGUCUUAGAAAAAUAGAGGCUUUAGGGUUUCUGACAGUAAUUCUAUUUCCAUUUUAAAUCUUUUAUAUUGAAAUUCUGUGUUUACUUAUAUAUUUUAUAUAUUUUCCAGCAUUUGAUUAAGUUCUUUACCUAAAGUAAUUCGUAAGCCCCUUAUCUUUUCAAGAGCUUCUGCACUCGCGAACUUGGAUCACAAGUAAAGAGGCUUUGCAACCACCUUCAAAGGAAGGAGUGAACAUAAUCCAUUCUGCACAGUAUAUUCUACUACCAUAACUAAAGUGUAUUUACUGGAAAAUACAAGCAAUUUGCAUGCAGUGACAAUCUUUUCCUUUGUACAGUGUCACUAUGGAUUCAUAAGCAUGCAUUUUAAACUUAUAUUAGCAAUGCUGUUCCAAGCACACUGAAUGGAAGUUGUCUUAGUCUUUUUAUCCUUUGUUUAUUCAGAGUACAUUUAAAUGACUCUUGUAAUUUUCCCUUUACACCAAACCACACAAUGUAGUACUCUCGAGUAAUACAGAGAUGUACAUUUUUCAAAAGUUUUUAUAUUGUUCUAAUAGAAAAGAAAAUGUGGUACCUCAAAAAAUCACAUUUUCUCAAAAAAGGAAUAGUGAAGCUUCUUAAUUUUUAUUGUAACUUGUAUCUUUCCCUUCUGGAGUAUAGCAAUAGGCUGGAUCUAUUUUCGUUCUCAUAGUUACUUCCUAAAGCAGGCAAUAGCUACUUGUUGGCUUUAUAAAAUGCGUUAGUGUUCUUGUUCUGACUCAGAGAUAAGCAUCAUAUAAACUGCUAACAAAGCCUACAAAUGCAAGGUUUUGUUAUAGGGACUAUGUUUUUCUGCUGUGCUCUGGCGACAUCUGCCAUUCUGGUAGCUGAUGUGGGCAGGUAUCCAUGACUUGGGUUACACACAGACAACCACAUGAGUCAUUUUUGAGGCUUAUUUUGCAACAAAUAACAUUUUUUUUAGGUCUCACAAAUGGCAGCAGAGCCAGAAAUCAUAAGAAAUAAUAACUAUAUUUGAUCACUGAAAUAAAACAAAAAUUUUCCCAGUAGAAAUGGCAAACAGACAAACCACGAUCUGAGAGAAAAAGUUCAGUAUGUGUUAGAAAAUAGGGUAAUAGUAUUACUAUGAAAGAGCUCUUAUGAGUAAGGAAAAUAUACAAAUAAAAAUUACAAAAAAAGAAAGUAAAUUCAUAAAAGAAACAAAGAGAAACAAAUAGUCAGAAAACAGGAAAAAAAUUCAAGCUCACAAAUGCAAAUCCUAUAUUUUGUCUAUCAGGAAGAUAGUGUUUUGUGUUAUUGGAGUUGUGCACCCACUACAGAUGUGGCUGUAAUAGCAGAGUUUUUAUACCAUCCUUGACAUCACAACAUGUCUACAGGGUAGAGAAAACAUGGACUAAUGAACUAUGAUAAAGAGAACAUAGGUGGAAAAUGUUUGUAAAAACAGAAAUGUAAUAUGAAAAUACUUAAUUAUCGCAUUGAUCAAACAUGUUAUAGAUUCAUAU
rnacentral:lncRNA from 1 species